rnacentral:rRNA from 1 species
AGGAUGAACGCUGGCGGCGUGCCUAAUACAUGCAAGUCGAGCGGUAAGGCUACUUCGGUAGUACACGAGCGGCGGACGGCUGAGUAACACGUAGGAACGUACCCCAAAGUGAGGCAUAAGCACCAGAAAUGGUGUCUAAUACCGCAUGUGCUCUUCGGAGUAAAGCUUCGGCGGUUUGGGAACGGCCUGCGUAUGAUUAGCUUGUUGGUGAGGUAAAAGCUCACCAAGGCGACGAUCAUUAGCUGGUCUGAGAGGAUGAUCAGCCUGACUGGAACUGAGAACGGUCCAGACUCCUACGGGAGGCAGCAGUAGGGAAUUUUCCACAAUGGACGAAAGUCUGAUGGAGCAACGCCGCGUGCAGGAUGAAGGCUUUCGGGUCGUAAACUGCUUUUAUAUGUGAAGAUUAUGACGGUAGCAUAUGAAUAAGGAUCGGCUAACUCCGCGCCAGCAGCCGC